rnacentral:rRNA from 1 species
GUCCACGCCGUAAACGAUGUCGACUAGCCGUUGGAGACCUUAGAGUCUUUAGUGGCGCAGCUAACGCGAUAAGUCGACCGCCUGGGGAGUACGGCCGCAAGGUUAAAACUCAAAUGAAUUGACGGGGGCCCCGCACAAGCGGUGGAGCAUGUGGUUUAAUUCGAUGCAACGCGAAGAACCUUACCAGGUCUUGACAUCCAGAGAACUUUCCAGAGAUGGAUUGGUGCCGCAAGGAGCUCUGAGACAGGUGCUGCAUGGCUGUCGU